GUCUGUGGCUCAACCAUAGAAUUGCCGUUGAAACUGGGAGGCUUGAGUAUGUUUGAGGCAGGCGGAAUGCGUGGUGUAGCGGUGAAAUGCAUAGAUAUCACGCAGAACCCCGAUUGCGAAGGCAGCCUGCCAAGCCAUUACUGACGCUGAUGCACGAAAGCGUGGGGAUCAAACAGGAUUAGAUACCCUGGUAGUCCACGCAGUAAACGAUGAUCACUAGCUGUUUGCGAUACACUGUAAGCGGCACAGCGAAAGCGUUAAGUGAUCCACCUGGGGAGUACGCCGGCAACGGUGAAACUCAAAGGAAUUGACGGGGGCCCGCACAAGCGGAGGAACAUGUGGUUUAAUUCGAUGAUACGCGAGGAACCUUACCCGGGUUUGAACGCAUUCGGACCGAGGUGGAAACACCUUUUCUAGCAAUAGCCGUUUGCGAGGUGCUGCAUGGUUGUCGUCAGCUCGUGCCGUGAGGUGUCGGCUUAAGUGCCAUAACGAGCGCAACCCUUGCCACUAGUUACUAACAGGUAAAGCUGAGGACUCUGGUGGGACUGCCAGCGUAAGCUGCGAGGAAGGCGGGGAUGACGUCAAAUCAGCACGGCCCUUACAUCCGGGGCGACACACGUGUUACAAUGGCGUGGACAAAGGGAAGCCACCUGGCGACAGGGAGCGAAUCCCCAAACCACGUCUCAGUUCGGAUCGGAGUCUGCAACCCGACUCCGUGAAGCUGGAUUCGCUAGUAAUCGCGCAUCAGCCAUGGCGCGGUGAAUACGUUCCCGGGCCUUGUACACACCGCCCGUCAAGCCAUGGGAGCCGGGGGUACCUGAAGUCCGUAACCGCGAGGAUCGGCCUAGGGUAAAACUGGUGA
rnacentral:rRNA from 1 species